CAUUAUGGCUCAUUAUACCUGCUCUUGAUGACCGGGCCUGCUGAUGGGGACCAACCUUCGCACGUGUACAAUGUGACGAACAAAACAGUCAUGAAAUGUUUCCUCGUCAUAUCCGUGGUGUCCAGGCAGAAUGGAGCGAGGUGGGGCAUUGUGUAUUCUGGGGUUACAGGCUUGUAAUACCUAAAUAAAGCCCGGAAGGAAAGAGAUAGCGAGAGGUUGUGAAGGAAAAAGAUUGUUGCAAAGAAAUGGAGUGAAAAGACAAGAAUCUUAUGAGGGGGAACGGUAGAAAGAGAGCCAUGAACGCUCAAGCAGCAGAAAAGCAUUGUGGUCAUCUGCAGUGCGAUGAGUCACCUGUAGGCAACACACACACAGACACACCCACUCUCACACACACACACACACACACACUUUACGCACAAACUCAAGAGCGACAGGCUUUGCAAUCAGAGCCCGCAGCUGUGUUGUCACAGUGCCAUAUUGCCUCAUAACCUGCAUUUUCUGAAUGUGUUUCAUCGUCUAAUCUGAAGCACAGUCCUGUGCAGAAUGUGUGAGAAAAAAAUGAAAGGUGAUGGAAUUUAAAAAUCAAAACAAAACUACAAAAUGAUUCGACCUUUUCAAAGCCUUCCUGGACAAAUUGAGACAUCAACGUGAUGAUUACCUUAAGCUGUCGAACAAAAUGUUAAUGAAAGAGAUAUUUGGUCUUUGGAUGGUUUACUGCCGGCAUCAUGGUGCUGCUCUUGUGAUUAGUUGAAAUCAAAUCUGUGGAUUAAAUGAACCAUCUGUAGACUGUGUAUAUUUUUCCUUCUGCUGCCCCUCUGCUCCUCCUAUAGUUACAGUAUAUAGGCUUGGAAAGGCUUCUUCAAAUGAGCUGUGAUCCACGUGACAAAGUCAUUCAGCAUAAUACGGACACAACAGAUUUAUAGUAGAAUUACAAGUAAUUAAAUAAAAUUAUUAGGACUGAGCCUGUUUCAAUAACUUUGGAUGCUAUUUUUUUCCCCAAAAUAGUUGUGAGAAAUUCUAUUAUUGGCAUUUUUAAGACCGUUCAAGGCCAUGAUUUAAUGAUAAAAACUCAACUCAACUCCUACCGUCAUGUUGGCCAAAAUGUUAGUGACAUUUUUAUGUAAACGAACACGUUUAUAUCCACAACAUGCAAUAUUGAAAUCUGCAAAAAUGCCUUAGGCCUUGUUCAUAUAUCAUGCAAUUGGUCAAUAUAGUCUUUAUUCAGAAGGGUCUAAUUAAAUUUGCCACAAAACAUUGUUUUAUUAUCAAUAAUCUGUUAAUUAUUAUUAUGUGUUUGUAUUGUUUGCAAGGGUAAUUAAAAUCAUCUUCAAAUGCCUUGUUUUGUACAAUCAACGGAAAAGAAGGAAUAGUUCUUAAAGGAAAAUAAAUCAACACAAAGAGGUCAGUAAAACACAUUUUUGAUAUUUGCAAAGACAAAAAAAUGAAUUACAAAAACAGUAAUAAAUUCACAUGCUCCUGCAUUAUCAAAAUUAUGUGACAUUUUUAUUGAAACGUGUGUUAUUCACCCCACCAGCACGCAACUGAGCUAAUCAAACAUAAAUGUUCAUGUUUUUGUAAACCAAAUACUUUGAGUUUGAGUUUUAGUAAAACCAACGAGAAGAAUUACGUUUAGCGAAAUCAAGAAAAAAAAAAAAAAUUUGACUGUUUCUUAAGGAAUUCAAUAUUAAAUUUGUUGCUUUCUUCGUCGCAAAUAUCUGCUUCAGUCGCUAUGUUUUUUUCAGAGGCAAAGGACUAGCAAAGCUCGCAAGGUUAGUGUAAAACAAUAACAACGCUUUUUCACUGCAGCCUGGGAGGAAAUGGUGUGAGCUUUCAAAGGCGACAUCAGCUAAUUCCCAAACUGUCAGUCUAUCUCUGUGUGGUAAAACAAUAUUUAGCUUGAUGAGUGUGAAAUAUCUGCCUAUUGAUAGCUGCCACGAAGUGUUUCCAAUGACUGUGUGGGUAAUUUAGAGACUAACAUUAGGUUUAUUUUUGCCUUCUGGAGGAUAAAAAUAUAGAAAAGCAAAAAAAAAGAGCAGAUCUUGUCAUCAUUCAUUCUUAUUCUAUCUGCGUUCAACUCCCCCCUCUCUAGUUCUCCCCCCUCAGCCAGCUUCAUCUCUUUUCAAGCCUCAUCACCAACACACAACACCACCCCAUAAUCCCCCCCC
ensembl:lncRNA